rnacentral:tRNA from 1 species
GGUGCUGUACUUAAAAAAGAAGGUUGAGUUUAUAACUUAAAAUUGGGCUUAUCCCUCAGUGCUU